UUGAUUAAACCUUCUUUGGGACCCACACUUGAUUGGGUCCAGCAAACUUAAAGAAUUGAUUCCUAUCAGGUAAUGCAACAGAGCCUCUUGGACUGAUACUUGGUUCACUCUUGACUGAACUUACUUCCUUAACAACAGCCUUAUAAACCUUAGUUUUAGGCUUUGGAACAUAAGUCUCCUUCCUAACACGAGGAGGACUACAGUCUUUGAUCUAUCAUGCUUAUUGUUUGUGUGUUGUCUAGGUGAUGUGUUUUCAUUUAGCAUGCAAAUUUCUAAAAUAAGCAGACAUAGUAUGAAAGCACAAAGCAUACAGCUAUCAACACCACAACAUUUAUGACAUGCAUCAAAAACAGGAACAACAGGAAUAUCAGUCACAGUAGUAGGAACAUCAAUAGAUUCUAUUCUAACCUUGUUAGCAGAUUUAAAGUUCUCAGUAGAAUGACAUCUAUUAUCUCUGUUCUUACUAUUCACAAAAUUAUUAGGCUUGUUGAAUUUAGUUCUCUCAGAGUUGACACCUAAACCAGCUUUAGGCAACCUAACAUUGCCUUUCACUUUGAUUGGUUUCAGUGAUGUCAGGAUCUCAUCUCUCUUCUCAUUACUCUCUUUCAUUUUAAGGUCUUCCUGUUUGAGUUCAUAUCUAAUGACAACAGGAGUUUCUAACAGAGGUUCAGCUUCUGAGGAUUUAAACAAAGGUUGAGGGGAAUCUUUCAAAACAAAAGGAAUUCCUCUCUCCUUAGCACUCUUCUUAAAAGGAGUAAUGUUACUGGCCUUACCUAGAGAUUUGUUAUAGUCAAAACCUAUUCCAACAGUUCUCUUGUUCUCUUGUUUAUCAUUAAGUUCUUUGACUAUAGUGGAGGCAUCCUUAAAGGCUUUACAUUUCACUUUAUCUUCGUCUAGCUGAAGUCUUAAAGCAAUCUCACCUUUCUCUAGAACUCUGACUUUAGCACAUUGUAAUCCUAAAUCCAUAGUCAGUUGUUCAAUUUUAAGUUUUAAUACUUUCAUCUCAUUCAUCUUAUAAGCAUGAAUAUCUAAGAUCUCACCUUUCUCUAGAACUCUGACUUUAGCACAUUGUAAUCCUAAAUCCAUAGUCAGUUGUUCAAUUUUAAGUUUUAAUACUUUCAUCUCAUUCAUCUUAUAAGCAUGAAUAUCUAAGACUAAAGUAUCAAUCUUAAGAUUGGCAGCUUUCAACUUUUUAAUAGCAUCAUCUCUUUCAAGUCCUAAUUGCAUAAAAAGUUUAGGGCAUGUAAGAUCUACCUGAAAGCUUCCAGCAGGAGGAGGUGAAGACGAUCCAGCAUUAGCCACAAGAGCAACAUUCCCAAUCUGCUCUUCUUCAUCACUAUCUGUAUCAUCCCAGCUUUUCCCUUCUGCCAGAUAAGACUUGCUUUUGAAACUUUGACUUCACUACUAGAAAUUUGUUAAUAAACAUCGGCUAAAAAGCGAUGUCUAUGUAAAAUUCGACCGAUGUCUUCGUGGGUGAUGAGAAAAGUAGGUGCAUUACACAUCGCUUUUUAGCCGAUGUCUAUAAUCUGUUUACACAUCGUUUAAUAUAACAAUCUAAUGUAUUUUUGUAAAAUAGAUACCUUCACUAUAAUUUCAGUUCCUCAUUCAUAUGCCAUCUAUAUCAUUUUAAACUUGUCACAUGUAUAAUAAAAUGAUACUUUAACAUCUAAAAACUUGUGAAACAGAUGUAUAUGAUAACCUUUUACAUCACGCUUUUAUCAGAAGCGAUGUGGUACCCUUCUUUUAUUUAAGAAAUCGAAGUCUUUGUUUUUAUUUUACAUCAGUUUUUUUAUACUCUGAUAUCUAUUAUAUAGUUUAACAUCGUCAUUUUCUUGUUAGUUGAUAUAUGUUCCUUCUUAUGACAUCGGUCCAUUAGUAUAUUUUGAAUGAAAAUGUCUUAUUUGACUAAAUUCUACAUCAGUUAUUAAGUGAUGUGAAUGUUAGCUUUUGUUUCCAUGAAUCCCCUGUUUCAAUUAAAUGCCCAAAAUCCAAACAAUAUACCAAAGCCAUACUAAACAACCAAACCAAUGUCUACACUAUCAUAACAGAACUAAAACUAAAUUAGCUAGCAAAACAGAACUUCUGCAAAAGCAAAAUGUAUUACCUUCAAUCAUUACCAAUGCAAAUACAUCCAACAAUCAAAAGAAACUACACAAAUCUUCAAUAUAUACCAAGCUGCAGUUGUACUAUACGUCUCCAGCCAAACCAUCAUUUGCUUAGUUCACUCCAGCAACCAUAAUUUACUUAAAUUUCUGCGCAACUGAAAACUACAAAGAAAGAAAGUGAAGACUAACACCAGGUAUAGACCGAUAUACUUUGGAGUGAUGCAGAGAGAAUGUGUGAGAGUUGAAGAGAGGUCCAAGGGCUUGAAUCCAAGUGAAGUCCCUGGUCCGACCAGUUGGCCUGUGGCCAAUGAAUCGAGCAUUGAUUUGAAUGUUUUGGUCAGAGACUAAGCUGAAAUGCUGAUUACUCUUUCCAUGGAAAUAGAAUAUAAUGCCAUCCCCUCCAAUAAAGCGAGGAUCAUAUCAUGCUGAGCCAGGGCUGUUACAGUCUGGUUUAAUACCUGAACAGAAUAUAUAUAACAUGUUAUUCAGAUUAAGAAUUUGAAAUAUCACUGCUACUUUUAGUAAAAUAUGAUAUACAUUCUCUGGAUCCAUGUGUAUUAUCUAAAGACCUGAAUUAGAAUUAGCAUAAAGAAAAAAGUUAUUUAUAUUAUAGUGCUAAUAUAUUCGAAUAUCUGGUUCAACGUCUGCACUUAGAUUUGCAUGUGGGAGUAUCACAGUCAAUACAUGGCAAACUUUAGAUUUGCUGUUGGCGGACUCGCUUUAUACUUUGGUACUUUGCUGUACCAAAGUAUUUAUGCAUAUUAAGUUAAGUACCACAGCAUUUUUGCCUAUCCUUGAGUUCUUGUCUACUAUAGCUUUCUGUAUGUGUGAGCCUUCCCCGAUGCCAAUUGGAAUACUCGUAGCUAUACCCUCCCUGUCAUCAGUAACAUUCUGCACAUUUAUAUUUAUUAUCUGUUACACAUACUUGCAAAGGAAAAAGCAAAAGGAUUUAAAGUCGUAGUAAUGGCUCUUACUUGGUAGAUAUCAACCCAUAACCACCGAAUCCUCAAUUAUAGCUUUAUCUCUGACCCUUGUUCUCAUACCAAGGAUUGAGUUUUUGAUGCUAUAGCUCUGAAUACAGAAAGAUCAAACAAUUUUUGGAUGAAUCAUCCCAACAAUUGUGCACGAACAAGAUUUCACAACUUUUAUAUUAUAGCACCAAAUGCUAAAAUUCUCAACUCCAAAGGGGUUUAACAAUUGGAUGCAUCCAUUCAAAAAUGCAUGAAUAAACAAUUUUUAACCAAUUGUUACAUUGUACAUCACCCGAUAGAACCAGCAUUGGAGUUCCACUUCUAUUUUAAGCAUCAAUAAACAAAUUUUGAUGCUAUAUUAUAGCAAUAACAUUAGAUGUUUAGCAUCUAGUGUUGGACUUGCUCUGUAUAGGAUAAAAACAACACCAACAUAUACAACACACUCACUUGUUUGGCAUGUCUCUCACAGCAUCAGCAGUUCCCUAUUUGCAUAAUGGCAUUAGAAUAAAUAGAAUUUUCUACACAUAUACAAAAAUUAUAAUUUAUAUACUAGGUGUGUGAACUUGAUGAUAUACCUUAGUAAUUAUCUAGGUAAAACAUGACCUUAAGUUUCUUCGAGCCAAUUGAUUUAGGAGCACUAAAAAUAACAAGCAGACCUCAAUUUUCAUGUAAACUUGUAUAAGGAAUUGAGAAGAACUUGAAACCACUCCUUGUCAUUGGCACUCUGAUAAGCAGCUAUCAUUUCAACGAAACCUUCAUUGGCAAGGCAGGCACCAGAAUAUGCUCUUGAGAUGUGGGAGUUAAGAGACCAUGUAGAAAUCAACAGCUAUAUAGUUUGGCCAUCUAUUACCAGCUACCACGCGACAAGUGUUCACCAUGUCCGCCAGAGGAGCAGAGUUAGACUUGCAGGCUUGUGUACUACUUGGUGUAUCUGGGAAGUAGUUCACUAGCACCAGUGACCUUGUUCUUGUGUUCAUGGGAAGAGAUUCUGCACGGUUAGGACACAUACCAGCAUUCAUACCGCCAUCACCAUCUGCAGAUUAAACCCCAUUAAACUGCAUAGGUUCUUUGAAACAAAUGUUUCUUCUUUUUUUUUUUGCUAUAUUAAUUGGGAGUGAAAGGAAAAACGUGAUAAUAUAGCUCACAUUGAUUCUCUACCAAGUAACGCCAUUCAUAAGCAAUGCCUUCAAUUGCUUCUUUAUCAGGUAAAUUAGUAUAUGCAGGAUUUAGUUAAAUGAUAGACCAACCUCGAUCUGGCCAUUAGCAGCAGCAAUAUGAAGAGCAGAGUUGCGAUCAUACAGAGUGGAUUGAUGAAUCAUAACUCAUCCAAUAAAAAACAGACAAAAAUUUCUCUGAGGACAAAUACAAACAGUUUUAGACAUAUAACUACACAUACAACAAUUUCACACUUUAAUUUCGCAUACAUACAUACAACUACAAAAAUAUAUACAUGUAGCCAACAAAUAUUAAUACAAAUGUAAAGAAGAAUAUACCUAACAAUGCAAGCUCCGAAUUAAAGAAAAUCAAAUUCCGAACCCCAAAAUCCAACUAAACUGCAAGCUCCAAGUUUUAAGUCUUAACAAACCCUAAGCUCCAAGAUUUAAG
rnacentral:lncRNA from 1 species